rnacentral:tRNA from 1 species
GUUUUAAUAGUUUAAAUAUAAAUCAUUGGUCUUGUAAACCAAAAAUAAGGUCAUCUUUUAAAACU